rnacentral:rRNA from 1 species
GAGUUUGAUCCUGGCUCAGGACGGACGCUGGCGGCGCGCCUAACACAUGCAAGUCGAACGAGCGAGAGAGAGCUUGCUUUCUCGAGCGAGUGGCGAACGGGUGAGUAACGCGUGAGGAACCUGCCUCAAAGAGGGGGACAACAGUUGGAAACGACUGCUAAUACCGCAUAAGCCCACGACCCGGCAUCGGGUUGAGGGAAAAGGAGCAAUCCGCUUUGAGAUGGCCUCGCGUCCGAUUAGCUGGUUGGUGAGGUAACGGCCCACCAAGGCAACGAUCGGUAGCCGGACUGAGAGGUUGAACGGCCACAUUGGGACUGAGACACGGCCCAGACUCCUACGGGAGGCAGCAGUAGGGAAUCUUCGGCAAUGGGCGAAAGCCUGACCGAGCAACGCCGCGUGAAUGAUGAAGGCCUUCGGGUUGUAAAAUUCUGUUAUAAGGGAAGAACGACUUUAGUAGGAAAUGGCUAGAGUGUGACGGUACCUUAUGAGAAAGCCACGGCUAACUCUGUGCCAGCCGCCGCGGUAAUAC